UUUUUUUGUUCAUUAUUAAUUUCCCGCCACUUCGUCGACUUAGCAGAUUCUUUGCUGUCAUCGUAACAACUUAGAAACUGACCUGGAUUAAGUCGUCGCUUUCACUUCCUUCCUUCGUUGCUUAUAGUGAGUACCUGGAUUUGUAUUUAUGGAAUUGUGGAGAUACCAACAUCAAUGUCUUUGGUAUUACUACCUGAAAACCUGACUAAAAUUCUGGUCGUUCAGGAAAAGAAGAAAAAAAAAAAGGAAAAGGAUAAACUUUUCAUCGAUGCUGCUCCGCUAAAAAAUUUUCAACGUCGGCUAAUAGGCUAGGCUGGUAGUAAGCUUUCUAAUUUUUACAUUGAUUUUUUUUUAUUUAAUUUUUUUUUUCUUUUGUGAAGUUUAUUAGUAGACAGUUAUGUAGUAAUGGCAUCAUGCUAACUUCUGUCUUCUGUUUCGAACUUAGAUUUACAAGCACCACAUCAUUAUCACCAUCGCUUGUUGUCAACGCCGCCUUUCCUCGUUUACCACUUCUCUGCCGUCGCCAAUCACGUACUAUAGAAUUCACUCCAUCACCACCAUCAUCAGACAGAGGUGACUGCUGCCACCGCGACCUCCCUCCCUUCCAUACAGAUACUCUCACAACAGUUUCGCUUCUACCACGUUGAUGCAUGUCUACUCUUACUAUUACCAUUACUACAACUACUACUCUCAUCUUAAUCGAAGGUGAGGCAAGCCCUGGAGAUAAUUAAUCUCUCUUACCUUCACGGUUACUAUAUAAUAUUACUACGAGAGAGAGAGAGAGAGAGACACACACACACAAUCAGACAGACAGACAGACAUACCGGUAUUCAACCGAAGCACCAAGUUUGUCAGGCGUCUUACUACUAGUGUAGUGUUCCACUAGUCCAUUCUAGUGCACCACUAGUAAACCUGCUCAAAAUGGGUCUGUCCGGAGAUGAAGAUGUGGAGCAAAGAUUCUCCAAUUUAUGUCGAGAUCUUAACAUGGACAGAAGUAGCCAAGAGGAGGCGUGGGAAUCUUAUCGUAGGAUUCGCACCUACUUUGUACUUGAGGGGGAACCACUACAUUGGUUGGCAUGUGCUGCUUACGUAGCUUGCAGACGGAGUGUGGUUCCGACGGUUGGACAAGGGACCAUGGAGGGGAAUUGUGUUUCUCUGACCCGGCUUCUUUCUACAGCUGAUUUUAACUUGAUUCACUUCUUCAGCAAAAUGAAGAAAUGGUUGAACAUGGCAAGUUUGCCUCAAGAUUUCAGAGAUAAGAUUGAACGUCUUGAGAGGAACUUUUCAGUAUCUACAGUGACUUUCAAAAAGUACCGGCCAAUAUUCUAUGAUGUUUUCAACAGUGCCUCAGUCCAACCACGGUAUAACCGUAGCAGGAAACAACGUAAAAUGCCCUGUUCUGUGACAGAAUUAUUUUCUUUCUGUUGGACAAUGUUUGUACAGGUCAAAGGCCAUUUUCCAGCAAUCAGUGAUGACCUGGUUAACUCUUAUCAUUUAUUGCUGUGCUGCAUUGAUUGGUGUUAUGCAAAUGCCUUGAUUGCUGGACGUAAAGAUAUUCUUAACCACAGUUUUGCAGGACUUCCUGAGAAUUUCCAUAACAAAGACUGGAAGCCUCCGUCUGAAGCUCCGUGUAUCAUAAAACUUCUUUGUGAGAAACACAAUGGACUUGUUGUUGAUGCUAAGACAAUUAAAGAACAUCACUGGAAACCCUAUUUGAAAGAACUUUUCAGGAAACCCCAUUCGAAGCAAAUGUUCAGGGAGCCCAUAUUAAGGGGCAACGAAAGUAACUUAGCCGGUGUGUUGGACACUGGAAACUUUGAAGCUAAUUUUAAAGCAAUCAACCGUGCUUAUGGGGAAUAUGUCUUAAGAGUAGGAGAUUUUGAUGAAACGAUAUUCUUGGAAAAUUACGCCACUGAAGAGAUUGGAACUCCUAGAAAUCAAUCGGAUUUUUCAGAUGGAAUUCCAAUGGAUCGAAGUAUUCACCAACAUUUGGAUGAAACACGAAGUCUUGCACCACCAACCCCUUUGACAGGGCGGCGCUAUCUGAAAGAGAAAGAUCCCAACAUCACGCCUAUAUCAACUGCUACUCAGAGUGUUAGUCGGUUGCAAGCUCUGUUGUCUGGCCGGAAGACCUCACCAAGUGAAGGCCUUAUAGCAAUAUUUGAGGAGUGUUCUAGGAAUCCUUAUAAAGCAAUCAUGAAUCGAGUGAAAGAAAUGGGAGAGAUAUUUUGUACAAAUUUCAUUCAACCUUCCGACCAUCCUGGAGCACACAGUGACUUUGCACGUAACCGUUUGCAAUUAGCAGAAAGUCUGUACUUUAAAACUCUAGAAAGUAUUGCUGUGGACGAGAAGAAGAGGUUUUCAGCUAAAGACGGCAACAAAGAUCUCACAGUUGUUCUGGAACACGAUAUUUUUCAAAGAUCACUAUUUGCUUGUUGUCUUGAAAUUGUGAUAUUUUCUUAUAAUUCUCAAAGGACAUUCCCAUGGAUUGCUGAAAUCUUUGAGUUGAGUCCUUGUCAUUUCUAUCGAGUAAUUGAAAUGGUAAUCAGGGCUGAAGAAGGUCUUUCUCGUGAUGUUGUGAAACAUUUGAAUCUCAUCGAAGAAUCUAUUCUGGAAAGUUAUGCUUGGAAAAGCACAUCUCCUCUUUGGGAUGCUAUUCGUGAGCAGGAGAGCAUACCAACUUGUGAAGAGGUAUCUCUACCUUCUCAGCUUGAAACAAUGACUGCUUCUCCUCCACUUCACCCUGGUAUCCGGCGGUUAGUUGAUGAAGGGAAAAGUACUUAUUAUCAGCAAUCACCAAGUACUUCCAUCAGUGGACGGUUUGGUUCACCUAACCCUGGAACUGCCCGCAGGAAACUUUUCAGCACGGAAACACCAUCAGCAGCACAAGUAACAAAUGUGUUGAUGGAGUCUGUGUCAUCAGGUACUGAGGCACAGCAAAUAACAGUAGGUGCCACUGGUACAAAUACCGAUCUGACAAAUGCCUCUGCUAAUACUAUUGUAGCCAGUAACAAUGAGAAUGCUGCCCCAUCUUCGCAAACUCGUAUAAUUACUUUACAACAUGGUCAACAGGUGGUGAUAGUACAGCCAAUUGUUUCUAAUACUACCUCUGUCAGUGUGCCUUCCAAUACAGUUGUGACAACCUCACAACAACCACAACAGCCACAACAAACACUGCAACAACAACAGCAAUUACAGCAACCACAGAAACAGAAGCCCACUGCAAAACCCAAACGUACAGGAUCUCUUGCCCUUUUCUUUAGGAAGGUAUAUCAUCUUGCUGGUGUACGUCUAAGGGACCUUUGUGAAAAGUUAAAAGUGAAUGAAGAAGAGCUACAAAGAAAAAUGUGGACAUGCCUUGAGCAUUGUCUUGUAAAUGAGAUCAGUUUAAUGAAGGAUAGGCAUUUGGAUCAAAUCAUUAUGUGUUCAAUGUAUGUCAUUGCUAAGGUAGCGACAGAUCCACCACAAACAUUCCAGAAUAUCAUGAGAUGUUAUCGCCUCCAACCUCAAGCUCAAUCUCAUGUUUAUAGAAAUGUACUGCUUUCCUCUAGAAGACGACGAACAUCAGGGAGUAGUGACAGCAGCAGGAAUGGAACAAGUGGUUCUUCUUCACCUGUUACCAUCGAAAGGGAAGAUUCUAAGGAGAAGGACAAACGAAGGACUGAAGCCUUGAGUAUCCGGUCAUCCAGCACAUUACCGGUUCCACAUCCCAACAGUCAGCCUCCUACUCCAACCAAACUUAUUGGAAUGGGUUCUACGUUAGAAAUGGGGGAAGAAAGAGGUGAUCUCAUCCAGUUCUAUAACCAGGUAUUUGUGAAGAGGAUCAAGGAAUUUGCUUUGAAAUUUUCUGCUAAUCAAUCAAACGAUAAACCUCAUUUAUCACCAUUGCCAGUGGCUAGGUCACAUACGUCUUCACCGCGUCGGGUAUCUAAUAAGCACAAUGUCUACAUAUCUCCCCAUAAGACAAACCCUGGGGGAACACCUCAUAGUGGGAAGGUGUACUGUUUCAGCAUGAGUCCUGCCAAAGAUUUACAUGCCAUAAAUGAAAUGAUCAAGAAAGUGCCUGGGAAGCGGUGCUUGGAAAUCGAAGAUGAUAUUUGCCCAUCUCCAGCCAAACGCCCUGAACUUAUGAGACGACUUCAAGAUGUUAACAAGGAUCGACAGAAGGAACAGAAUGGUACUGCAUAAGCAUGUGACACUCACACCGACAUAUAGACACAUUUAUACAUUAACAUAAGCAGUUGUCCUGCUCUUCUGUUCUGUUACCAUCUCUCUUCCUUUCUGUCACAUUCUCUGUGUGAGUGCGUGUGUGUGUGUGUAUAUAUAUAAAAAUAUAUAUAUAUAUAUAUAUAUAUAUAAAAUCGUUUUUUAGAAAAACAAAUUUGGAGAAGCACACUCUAAGAAGUAGAACAGUCUAUAUUUGUUAUUGGUGAAGGCCGGUUUAUAGGAUUACCCUGGGUUUCUUGCCAUAAAGGAUCCCUUUAUGACAUAUCUUCAGACCCUAAGACCUGUUGGCCUAUGACCUCUUUAAAAUAUGGAGUGGAGAACGAUAUGAAUGUAAACAAGGGGUUUAUCUCCCUUUGCUGCUGGCUAUCAGCUUCUGGCUAUGUUGCCAUCUUUCAGCUGUGAGGGUAAACAGUAGAGGGUUCUCUUUCUCUCCCAUCAGCAAUCAUUUUCCAGCUGUGGUGUUAUAUUCACAGGCAACACCCGCCCAGAAUUAAAGACCUUGAACCCUUCAAAGCUCACCUACUGAGAAUCAUCUUAAAACUGAAGUUCCGUAAGUCCUCUUCCUCCUUCCAAUGUAAGCUCUGUGCCGACAUUAGAUUAUUAAAAAAACUUGGAUAGUUACCUAAUUUUCUCCAAUGAGAAAAAGGUUAGACUCCAUAGAAUACAAUAGGCUCCUUGAAAAUAACAUCACACAGAGUUACAGAUGCAAAGCACACAUACAAGGACAUGAACAGUGAAGCUAAAAAAAUUAGCUAACAAUUUAGAGAUAGCAAAUAGGGUAGAAAUCCUAGCAAAAAGAAAUGCUUUCAUCACCAUAAAAGACCACAAACCGAACUUUGCCUCCAACCCCAAGUGCCACCUGAUCAAUCCAGCGAAAUCAAAGAUCAGUCUGGUGAGCAAACACAUUUUGUGAAAUAUCAAUAACACCACAAGAAGGGUUACUAACUUUACCUUGUGACACAGCAUCAGCAAAGUGACCGCAUGGUUUAAUGUCAACAAGGGUAGAGGCAGGGCAAGGUUCACCCAAUUUGAUACAGUCAAUUUUUACCCAUCUAUAUCAAAAGGGUUACUGACCAAAGCGCUUUCUUUUGCUAGGGGCUUCACUGGCAUUAGCGACAGGGAUAUAGAAAUCAUUAUGCAUGCCAGGAAAACUGUACUGUUUAAUAAAGUUUUGGCAUGGGUCAAGCAAUCCGACCCCAUGGGCUCCUUUGAUGUAGUGAUGGGAAGAUAACUCUCUAUUGUUUACCCUCAUAUCUGAUAGAUGGCAACAUGGCUGGAAGCCAGCAGCGAAGUGAGUUAAACCCCUUGUUUACAUCCGUAUCGUUUCGCCCUCCAUAUUUUAAAGAGGUCAUAGGCAAACGGAUCUUGAGGUCUGAAGGCAUGCCAUAAAGGUAUCAUUUAUGGUGAGAAACCCAGGGUAACCCUAUAAAAUGGCUUUCACCUGUAAUAAUAAAAUAAAUAUAUAUAUUGA
rnacentral:misc_RNA from 1 species